AUAAUACAUGCAAGUCGAGCGGACAGAAGGGAGCUUGCUCCCGGAUGUUAGCGGCGGACGGGUGAGUAACACGUGGGUAACCUGCCUGUAAGACUGGGAUAACUCCGGGAAACCGGAGCUAAUACCGGAUAGUUCCUUGAACCGCAUGGUUCAAGGAUGAAAGACGGUUUCGGCUGUCACUUACAGAUGGACCCGCGGCGCAUUAGCUAGUUGGUGGGGUAAUGGCUCACCAAGGCGACGAUGCGUAGCCGACCUGAGAGGGUGAUCGGCCACACUGGGACUGAGACACGGCCCAGACUCCUACGGGAGGCAGCAGUAGGGAAUCUUCCGCAAUGGACGAAAGUCUGACGGAGCAACGCCGCGUGAGUGAUGAAGGUUUUCGGAUCGUAAAGCUCUGUUGUUAGGGAAGAACAAGUGCGAGAGUAACUGCUCGCACCUUGACGGUACCUAACCAGAAAGCCACGGCUAACUACGUGCCAGCAGCCGCGGUAAUACGUAGGUGGCAAGCGUUGUCCGGAAUUAUUGGGCGUAAAGGGCUCGCAGGCGGUUUCUUAAGUCUGAUGUGAAAGCCCCCGGCUCAACCGGGGAGGGUCAUUGGAAACUGGGAAACUUGAGUGCAGAAGAGGAGAGUGGAAUUCCACGUGUAGCGGUGAAAUGCGUAGAGAUGUGGAGGAACACCAGUGGCGAAGGCGACUCUCUGGUCUGUAACUGACGCUGAGGAGCGAAAGCGUGGGGAGCGAACAGGAUUAGAUACCCUGGUAGUCCACGCCGUAAACGAUGAGUGCUAAGUGUUAGGGGGUUUCCGCCCCUUAGUGCUG
rnacentral:rRNA from 1 species